GACGAACGCUGGCGGCGUGCUUAACACAUGCAAGUCGAACGGAAAGGCCCUGCUUUUGUGGGGUGCUCGAGUGGCGAACGGGUGAGUAACACGUGAGUAACCUGCCCUUGACUUUGGGAUAACUUCAGGAAACUGGGGCUAAUACCGUAUAGGAGCUCCUGCUGCAUGGUGGGGGUUGGAAAGUUUCGGCGGUUGGGGAUGGACUCGCGGCUUAUCAGCUUGUUGGUGGGGUAGUGGCUUACCCAGGCUUUGACGGGUAGCCGGCCUGAGAGGGUGGACGGGCACAAUGGGACUGAGAUACGGCCCAGACUCCAACGGGAGGCAGCAGUGGGGAAUAUUGCACAAUGGGAGGAAGCCUGAUGAAGCAACGCCGCGGGCGGGAUGACGGCCUGCGGGUUGUAAAACGCUUUCGCCUGUGACGAAGCGGGAGUGACGGUAAUGGGUAAAGAAGCACCGGCUAACUACGUG
rnacentral:rRNA from 1 species